rnacentral:rRNA from 1 species
GAUGAACGCUAGCGGGAGGCUUAACACAUGCAAGUCGAGGGGCAGCACGUCUUCGGAUGGUGGCGACCGGCGAACGGGUGCGUAACGCGUAUGCAACCUACCCUUAACAGGAGAAUAGCCCAGAGAAAUUUGGAUUAAUACUCCAUAGUAUUACAGAUUCGCAUGUUUCUGUAAUUAAAGUUCCAACGGUUAAGGAUGGGCAUGCGUGACAUUAGCUUGUUGGUGAGGUAACGGCUCACCAAGGCAACGAUGUCUAGGGGUUCUGAGAGGAUGAUCCCCCACACUGGUACUGAGACACGGACCAGACUCCUACGGGAGGCAGCAGUGAGGAAUAUUGGACAAUGGAGGCAACUCUGAUCCAGCCAUCCCGCGUGCAGGAAGACGGCCCUAUGGGUUGUAAACUGCUUUUAUACAGGAACUAAACCCCUCUACGUGUAGAGGGCUGAAGGUACUGUAAGAAUAAGCACCGGCUAACUCCGUGCCAGCAGCCGCGGU